CAAUUAUAAAAAUCUGAAAAAAAUUAAAAUCUCAAAUCUAGAAACACCAAAACAUAAAACCAUUAGAUGUGCUCUAUUAAAUAUUAGAUCACUGAGAUCCAAAUCUCUACUAGUAAAUGACCUUAUCUCAGAAAAUAACUUUGAUUUAUUCUGUUUAACUGAAACAUGGCUGUAUCAAGAUGAAUAUGUUAGUUUAAAUGAAGCCACUCCUCCCAGUCAUUUAAAUACUCAUAUGCCACGAGACAUAGGCCGUGGAGGUGGUGUAGCAGCUAUUUAUCAUUCCUCUCUCCUAAUCUAUCCUAAACCAAAGGCCAGUUACACUUCCUUUGAAAGCCUGGUUCUAAAUUUAUCUCAUAUCGAAUCAAAAACCUGCCAGCCAGUCUUAUUUGCGAUAAUUUACCGUCCUCCAGGCCCUUAUUCUGAAUUUCUAUCAGAAUUCUCUGAGUUUAUAUCAAACUUAGUCCUCAGUUCUGAUAAAAUACUGAUAGUAGGAGAUUUUAAUAUCCAUGUGGACAAAGAUAGUGAUAGCCUGAGCUCAGCCUUUAUGUCCCUAAUAGACUCAGUUGGCUUUUUUCAAACUAUUAAUGAAGCUACUCAUCGUUUAAAUCAUACUCUUGAUCUUGUUCUAACAUAUGGCCUUGAUAUUAAUGAACUAAAAGUCUACCCUGAAAAUCCUCUGCUAUCAGAUCACUUUUUAAUAUCUUUUAACAUUAUCCUAGAGGAUCUCGCACUGUGCAAUAAAAUAGUUACAAGUAGAAAUCUAUCCAACAGUGCUGUGGCUAAAUUUAAAGAGGCCAUUCCUGCUGCCUUAAACUCAGUGCACCAUCCAAUAAAUAACUAUGAUAUUAAUUAUAGCCCCUCUCAACUGGAUCUGCUUGUCGAUAGCUCUGCUAGUCUACUAAAAUCCACCUUGGACUCAAUUGCCCCAUUGAGGGAAAAAACUAUUAAACGUCAGAGGAAAGCUCCGUGGUUUAGCUCUGAAACUCACACACUCAAACAGACAACCCGUAAAUUAGAGAGAAUGUGGCGCUCCAAUAAAACAGAGGAGUCACGAAUACUUUGGCAAGAAAGCCAUAGUAAAUACAUGACAGCCUUACGACAUAGUCGAUCUACAUACUACUCCUCACUAAUUGAAGAAAAUAAAAAUAAUCCGAGGUACCUUUUCAGCACUGUAGCCAGGCUAACACAAAGUCAGAGCUCUAUUGAGCCCAUGAUUCCUCUAGCCCUCAGCUGUGAGGACUUUAUGACAUUUUUUAACGAUAAAAUUCACAAGAUUAGAGAUAAAAUUAGCCACUCCCUGCCUUCACCUGGGCCUGCUGUACCAUUAAAUGUAAAUAGGCCUAACCUAAACUGUUUCACACAUAUAGGACUUCAGGAACUUAACUCUAUUAUUUCAUCCUCCAAACCAUCGACCUGCCUUUCAGAUCCGAUCCCAACUAAGCUGUUUAAAGAAGUUAUUCCCCUAGUCUGCCCAUCUUUGUUGGAGACAAUAAAUAUAUCCCUAUCAAUAGGCUACGUGCCACAGUCCUUUAAAGUAGCUGUAAUCAAACCCCUUCUCAAAAAACCUACUCUUGAUUCCAGCACUUUAGCAAACUACAGGCCUAUAUCUAAUCUUCCUUUUAUUUCAAAGAUUCUUGAGAAAGUUGUGGCAGCUCAGCUCUGUGAAUUUCUUCAAAACAACAGCCUGUUCGAGGACUUCCAGUC
ensembl:lncRNA